CUGAGGUUUUCUCUGUAGCUAAUUAGCUUCUUUUUUUUAAAGUAAAUUGAGGCAAAUAUAUUUAUAAAACUCACCUUGCCUGAGAGAUAAUUAAAGGGAUAUCAAAACGUCACGCCAAGCUAAGCCUACACCAAACACAUACUUAGUUUGAAGUGUUUGUAAAAUUCACUAUGUGAAAAAUGAAUGGUGAAAAAACGAAUCAAACCAUCGAGAAGGAUAAAAUAAUUAUAAUAAUAACCUGAACUUUGUUCAAGGCUUCAUAAUUAUAGCGCAAGAGGCACACUUUUCAAGACCAUCUGCCUUCAGUCCUCGAUAGGGCACAGUGGUUGUUGAAGAAGUAUUUGCAGUAUAUAACGUUCAGGGAAGAAUGACUUCUGAAAUGGACCCCAACACUGCUGGUGUUCAAUACAACGGCUGGAAUUAAGACAACAUCAAUCUGAAUGUGGCUGGAACAGGUGUAACGGGGCUCUACACCUGGGCGUAGCUAUCAAGGUGGCCGGAGCUUUGGCUGCACCGGUGGCUGUUUACAUCAUAGGAUACCUCAUUGGAUAUUACGCCCACAAAUGCUGACCAGCCACUGACCGAAGGACCCUCGUUCAGAGAGGAAGGACCCUCAACGGCUGGAAUGAUGUAUCAAUUAUAUAUGGUUUUUAAAUGACCAAAUAAUGGCUGUAUGAGAGGAUCAAAGAUUAUUGGAGCCACACUUUCAAUAAUAGUCAGGAUUUUUUGUUUCCUUUUUAGAAAUGUUUGACUUACAGUUCAUGGUAUAUGUUCUUCUCAGUAAGUGAUAUUACAGCGCCUUCAGAAAGUAUUCAUACUCCUUAACCUAUUCCACAUUUUGUUGUGUUACAUCCUGAAUUUAAAAUGGAUUACAUUUUUACCACAUAAUGACAAAGUGAAAACAUGUUUUGACAAAAUUGUGCUAAUUUAUUGAAAUACAGAAACAUUUCAUUUAGGUAAGUAUCACACCCCUGAGUCAAUACGUUAGAAUCACCUUUGGCAGCGAUUAAAGCUGUGAGUCUUUCUGGGUAAGUCUCUAAGAGCUUUGAACACCUGGAUUGUACAAUAUUUGCACAUUACUAUUAAAAAAAUUCUUCAAGCUCCCUCAAUUUGCUUGUUGAUCAUUUCUAAAUACACUUUGACAUUAUGGGCUAUUGUGUGUAAGCCAGUGACACAAAAUCUCAAUUUAAUACAUUUUAAAUUCUGGCUAUAACAACAAAAUGUGGAAAAUGUCAAGAGGUGUGAAUACUUUCUGAAGGCACUGUAUUCAUUUCUGUAGUUUUAAGAUUGUACUAUUGAGCUUGUUUUGUAAGCCUAUUCAACUGUACAUCAAGGUCAUUUGGCUUCAAUAUUUCUAUGAAAGGACACAGCAAAUACUAAUAGCAAU